ACAUGCCUAUAACAUAGCGUUAAUGCACUAGAUCCCAUUAGAACUCUACAGUUAAGCACGCUUAGGCUAGAAUAGUAUUGGGAUGGGUGGCCUUCCGGGAAGUCCUAGUGUUUUACAUGCC
rnacentral:rRNA from 1 species